GCUGGGCAUGUUGGCGCAUGCCUGUAAUCUCAGUGACUUGGAGGCUGAGGCAGGAGGAUCUCAAGUUCAAGGCCGGCCUCAGCAAUUUAGCAGGGCCUAACCCAUUAGAGAGAUCCUGUCUCAA
rnacentral:sRNA from 1 species